UACGUAGGGAGCAAGCGUUGUCCGGAAUCAUUGGGCGUAAAGCGCGCGUAGGUGGCCUCAUAAGUCCGCUGUGAAAGUCAAAGGCUCAACCUUUGAAAGCCGGUGGAUACUGCCGGGCUAGAGUCCGGAAGAGGCGAGUGGAAUUCCUGGUGUAGCGGUGGAAUGCGCAGAUAUCAGGAGGAACACCAAUAGCGAAGGCAGCUCGCUGGGACGGUACUGACGCUAAGGCGCGAAAGCGUGGGGAGCGAACAGG
rnacentral:rRNA from 1 species